UACAGAGGUCUCAAGCGUUGUUCGGAUUCAUUGGGCGUAAAGGGUGCGUAGGCGGCGCGGUAAGUCGGGUGUGAAAGUCUCGGAGCUUAACUCCGAAACUGCAUUCGAUACUGCCGUGCUUGAGGACUGGAGAGGAGACUGGAAUUUACGGUGUAGCGGAUGAAAUGCGUAGAUAUCGUAAGGAAGACCAGUGGCGAAGG
rnacentral:rRNA from 1 species